GAUGAACGCUGGCGGCGUGCUUAACACAUGCAAGUCGAACGGGAAUUAUUUUAUUGAAACUUCGGUCGAUUUAAUUUAAUUCUAGUGGCGGACGGGUGAGUAACGCGUGGGUAACCUGCCUUAUACAGGGGGAUAACAGUCAGAAAUGACUGCUAAUACCGCAUAAGCGCACAGGACCGCAUGGUCCGGUGUGAAAAACUCCGGUGGUAUAAGAUGGACCCGCGUUGGAUUAGCUGGUUGGUGGGGUAACGGCCCACCAAGGCGACGAUCCAUAGCCGGCCUGAGAGGGUGAACGGCCACAUUGGCACUGAGACACGGCCCAGACUCCUACGUGAGGCAGCAGUGGGGAAUAUUGCACAAUGGGGGAAACCCUGAUGCAGCGACGCCGCGUGAAGGAAGAAGUAUCUCGGUAUGUAAACUUCUAUCAGCAGGGAAGAUAGUGACGGUACCUGACUAAGAAGCCCCGGCUAACUACGUGCCAGCCGCCGCAGUAA
rnacentral:rRNA from 1 species